rnacentral:rRNA from 1 species
UACAGAGGGUGCGAGCGUUGUUCGGAAUUAUUGGGCGUAAAGGGCGCGUAGGCGGCGCCACAAGUCACUUGUGAAAACUCUGGGCUCAACUCAGAGCCUGCAAGCGAAACUGUGGUGCUGGAGUAUGGGAGAGGUGCGUGGAAUUCCCGGUGUAGCGGUGAAAUGCGUAGAUAUCAGGAGGAACACCUGCGGUGUAGACGGCUUACUGGACCAUAACUGACGCUGAGGCACGAAAGCGUGGGUAGCAAACAGG